UCAAGGGAUGGCUCAGUUGGUAAAGCAUGGGGCUCUUAAUCUCGAGGUCAUGGGUUUGAGCUCCACAUUGGGCAAAA